GACGAACGCUGGCGGCGUGCUUAAUACAUGCAAGUCGAACGGAAAGGCCCUGCUCUUGUGGGUUGGUCGUUUGCCGAACGGGGGAGUAACACGUGAGUAACCUGUCCUUGACUUUGUGGUAUCUUCUGGAGACUGCGGAUAUUACCGCGUAUGAUCUCUUGAUGCGUAUUGUGGAAUGGUGAGUUUCGGCGGUUGGGGCUGGACUCGCGGCUUAUCAGCUUGUUGGUGGGGUAGUGGCUUACCAAGGCUAUGACGGGUAGCCGGCCUGAGAGGGUGACCGGCCACAUUGGGACUGAGAUACGGCCCAGACUCCUACGGGAGGCAGCAGUGGGGAAUAUUGCACAAUGGGCGGAAGCCUGAUGCAGCAACGCCGCGUGCGGGAUGACGGCCUUCGGGUUGUAAACCGCUUUCGCCUGUGACGAAGCGUGAGUGACGGUAAUGGGUAAAGAAGCACCGGCUAACUACGUG
rnacentral:rRNA from 1 species